GAUGCUCGACCUUGUUCGUGAUCUGGCCCAAACUUGAGCCAACACAUUUCGCUUGGGAGGCUUGUUCGCCUGAACGGCGUAUUUUCCCUUUCAGGGACGGUCACCCACCUGCUUAGGCAGGUUCAAGCGCCUGUCAGACACGGCAAGGUGGAGCAUUC
rnacentral:other from 1 species